rnacentral:rRNA from 1 species
GAUGAACGCUGGCGGCGUGCCUAAUACAUGCAAGUCGAGCGAACGGACGAGAAGCUUGCUUCUCUGAUGUUAGCGGCGGACGGGUGAGUAACACGUGGAUAACCUACCUAUAAGACUGGGAUAACUUCGGGAAACCGGAGCUAAUACCGGAUAAUAUUUUGAACCGCAUGGUUCAAAAGUGAAAGACGGUCUUGCUGUCACUUAUAGAUGGAUCCGCGCUGCAUUAGCUAGUUGGUAAGGUAACGGCUUACCAAGGCAACGAUGCAUAGCCGACCUGAGAGGGUGAUCGGCCACACUGGAACUGAGACACGGUCCAGACUCCUACGGGAGGCAGCAGUAGGGAAUCUUCCGCAAUGGGCGAAAGCCUGACGGAGCAACGCCGCGUGAGUGAUGAAGGUCUUCGGAUCGUAAAACUCUGUUAUUAGGGAAGAACAUAUGUGUAAGUAACUGUGCACAUCUUGACGGUACCUAAUCAGAAAGCCACGGCUAACUACGUGCCAGCAGCCGCGGUAAUACGUAGGUGGCAAGCGUUAUCCGGAAUUAUUGGGCGUAAAGCGCGCGUAGGCGGUUUUUUAAGUCUGAUGUGAAAGCCCACGGCUCAACCGUGGAGGGUCAUUGGAAACUGGAAAACUUGAGUGCAGAAGAGGAAAGUGGAAUUCCAUGUGUAGCGGUGAAAUGCGCAGAGAUAUGGAGGAACACCAGUGGCGAAGGCGACUUUCUGGUCUGUAACUGACGCUGAUGUGCGAAAGCGUGGGGAUCAAACAGGAUUAGAUACCCUGGUAGUCCACGCCGUAAACGAUGAGUGCUAAGUGUUAGGGGGUUUCCGCCCCUUAGUGCUGCAGCUAACGCAUUAAGCACUCCGCCUGGGGAGUACGACCGCAAGGUUGAAACUCAAAGGAAUUGACGGGGACCCGCACAAGCGGUGGAGCAUGUGGUUUAAUUCGAAGCAACGCGAAGAACCUUACCAAAUCUUGACAUCCUUUGACAACUCUAGAGAUAGAGUCUUCCCCUUCGGGGGACAAAGUGACAGGUGGUGCAUGGUCGUCGUCAGCUCGUGUCGUGAGAUGUUGGGUUAAGUCCCGCAACGAGCGCAACCCUUAAGCUUAGUUGCCAUCAUUAAGUUGGGCACUCUAAGUUGACUGCCGGUGACAAACCGGAGGAAGGUGGGGAUGACGUCAAAUCAUCAUGCCCCUUAUGAUUUGGGCUACACACGUGCUACAAUGGACAAUACAAAGGGCAGCGAAACCGCGAGGUCAAGCAAAUCCCAUAAAGUUGUUCUCAGUUCGGAUUGUAGUCUGCAACUCGACUACAUGAAGCUGGAAUCGCUAGUAAUCGUAGAUCAGCAUGCUACGGUGAAUACGUUCCCGGGUCU